rnacentral:lncRNA from 1 species
UCUCUCCCGCCUAAUAAUGAUCUCCUUUAGAAUCAACAUCUCUUCUUCAUCAUAUGCAGACUUCUCUUCAACAAUAUUUCGGUACUGCCGAGCUUCCAUCUCAAUCUCUGCCUUCUCCUUCUGGAGACGCAGUAUCAUUGCCAUGGCUUCAUCAGCAGCCGUAGCAGCAGCAUUCCUCUCUUUCUCCAAUUCAAGAGAGAGAACCGCAUGAGUAGACUGCUCUUUUUUAAGUGCCCGCUGCAAAUUUUUUAUAACACUAGUGACAUUUCCCUCGGAUCCACCAACGUCUUUGGCACUAGCUGAUAUAUCCUUCUCCAUAGAAUUACAUUCAUUAGCAGAAGCAGCUCCUUCAACCAAUCCAAGGCAUUCAUCUGAAAUAAUAAUACACAACCAACUACGACCUGUCAUGGCAUUUAUAUCAACUAAUGCUUGAAUUUUUGACAUAACACAUUUAAACUGUGCCGUAUGGCCUUCUUAUUCCAAACAUGUAGACAAAAUCACUGGAAUUUAUCGGCUUUUGUCAUGGAAAUUCUGCUAUGACCGUAUAUGGAAGUUGAGAAAAAAAAAUAAAUACAUGUUUAAAUACCCACCAAAAAGGUAACGACCAUCUCCGUUUUCUUCAGACAUCGGCCCUUGGCCGUUGAUGCUGAAGGGCGUGCAGAGAGUGCCCUCCCGUUGCCAACCCAAUUGCAGAGGCGGAGAAGGGGACGCAGCGGACAGGGACUUCCCUCGACAACUGAGAGGAGGUCUCCGGCGGCGCCGCCGGUGGAGGACGGACGGUGGCCUCUUCCCGAGGAGAACCCCUUUACCCUUCACAUCCAGGAAGGCUCUUCUCGGAGAGGCCACCGACUCCAGUCCACUCACCGGCGUAGGGCUCACCAGGCUCAAAUCCUUGGAGCUGCGAG